UUCAGCAAUAAGCCCGCGCGUGGCGCCCGGCCCAGAAAGGUACAAUAACUGUAUAUUUUAACUUAAUGGUUUUUUGGGGGGCAUGCAAAUUUCUGUGAGCAGAUUGUGUUGAGGCCUGGGCUUGGAGCGGCCUCCCUGAGCCCCAGAAGCCCCCCGGAGCACCCCUGGCUCAGUGAAGGUUGCCCGUGUCAAAAUCGAGAUAUCAAACACCGAGGCUGAAAGACAAGGUAGGAGGCAAGCUGAGGACCAGAGAUGGCAAAGACAGCCUGGAGUUCCACAGGGGCCAGCCUUGGGCAAGAUUCUGUGGACCCUGAAUCCAAACUCAGCACAAGAUAUUCCUUCUGCUCUGGCUGAUUCCAUUUUCCUGCUCAGGGUCAACUUAUACGUCCUCCCUGUGAGGGCCUCGUAGGCCUCUGUGGUCAGGAAGCCACUUGGGGAGGACCCUCAGAUGAUGGCUUCUGGGGACAGUGACAUUGGAACCUGUCUUCCCUCCCACCUCAGUGAACCCUUGGGGAUGUCCAGCUCCAGGAAACAGGGCUAAGGAGGCCAGCAAAAGGGUGGCUUCUUCCCUUCUCACCCUGUUAUUCU
rnacentral:lncRNA from 1 species